GCGCUCACUUCCACAGCGCAUAUACUAGACCUGGAACGAUACAGAGGAAAUUGGCCCCUGCACAAGGAUGACACGCAAAUACAUGAAGCAUUUCAUAUUAAA